GUUUCUAUGUAGCAUAGACAUAUAUUCCAAUUAAGAUUCAAAAACUCAUUUUAAACAAUAUAUAUGUACGUCAUUUGUAUUGCGGUAGAAACUUCUUUCAUAUUUUCUUUUCAGUUAGUACUGCACCUAGAGAAUUUCGAGGUCCCAAUCCUAACACAAAAAUGUCUCGAAAUAAAAAGAAAAAAUUACGCAAAAAAGCUAAACGCCAACAAGAACUAUUAGAAAUGCAGAUGCAACAAUUAGAAGAAUUAGAAAUGGAAGAGCAUUUACAGAACAAAAUGCAUGAAACAGAAGAUAGAGAUGAAGAUGAAGAAACUACUCCAGAAGAAGACAGAAGGUUUAAUGGUAGUUCUGAAACAAAGAAUCCUGGUCACAAAGGCAAGAAAAAAUUUAAAAAAUUUUAUAAUAAUUAUAUUUUCUCUUUUAAUUACUAU
rnacentral:lncRNA from 1 species